UUAUUGCGCAUUUUGCACUUUACUAGAGUCUUGCGCAGUUAUUUUCAUCACAGUAACUUUUUAUCACAGUGAUUUUUCAUCACAGUUGUGUCGUUUCCAAGGGUUGUCAAGGACCCAAUCUGAAGAGGAACGGAACAGAUUCAUUGGAAGUGCAAGACAGUUUUGUGGGACUUAAGUGUGUGGAAUAGUUGAACUAAA